rnacentral:rRNA from 1 species
AUGACAAAACCAAAACGGGCAGGAGGCAUAGGCUUUAGAGAUAUGCAUCUAUUUAAUCUAGCUUUGCUGGCCAAACUGACGUGGAGACUCAUCCACAGACCUAACCGUUUGUGUGCUAGGGUGCUUAAGUCAAAAUACUACCCUCAUGGCAAUCUGUUGGACAUUGUGUUUGCAUCAGAUGCCUCUCUGAUAUGGAGAGGCAUUGAAGCUGGCCUCGAGCUUUUGAAAAAGGCAUUAUUUGGUGCGUUGGGGAUGGUAAGAGGAUUCAAAUCCAGUGUGACCAAUGGAUCCCGAGGAAGGAGGGCCUAA